UACGGAGGGGGCGAGCGUUAUUCGGAAUUAUUGGGCGUAAAGGGCGCGUAGGCGGCUGAACAAGUCAAAGGUGAAAUCCCUCGGCUCAACUGAGGAACUGCCUUUGAAACUGUUCGGCUUGAGGCCGGGAGGGGGUAGCGGAAUUCCCAGUGUAGCGGUGAAAUGCGUAGAUAUUGGGAGGAACACCAGUGGCGAAGGCGGCUACCUGGACCGGUUCUGCACGCUGAGGCGCGAAAGCGUGGGAGCAACAG
rnacentral:rRNA from 1 species